CUCCCCAGGCGGGGUACUUAAAGCGUUAGCUACGGCGCGGAACCCGUGGAAUGGACCCCACACCUAGUACCCACCGUUUACAGCGUGGACUACCAGGGUAUCUAAGCCUGUUCGCUCCCCACGCUUUCGCUCCUCAGCGUCAGGAAAGGCCCAGAGAACCGCCUUCGCCACUGGUGUUCCUCCUGAUAUCUGCGCAUUCCACCGCUCCACCAGGAAUUCCAUUCUCCCCUACCUUCCUCAAGUCAACCCGUAUCGAAAGCACGCUCAGGGUUAAGCCCCAAGAUUACACUUCCGACGCGAUCAACCACCUACGAGCCCUUUACGCCCAAUAAAUCCGGACAACGCUCGCACCCUACGUAUCACCGCGGCUGCUGGCACGUAGUUAGCCGGUGCUUCUUUACCCAUUACCGUCACUCACGCUUCGUCACAGGCGAAAGCGGUUUACAACCCGAAGGCCGUCAUCCCGCACGCGGCGUUGCUGCAUCAGGCUUCCGCCCAUUGUGCAAUAUUCCCCACUGCUGCCUCCCGUAGGAGUCUGGGCCGUAUCUCAGUCCCAAUGUGGCCGGUCACCCUCUCAGGCCGGCUACCCGUCAAAGCCUUGGUAAGCCACUACCCCACCAACAAGCUGAUAAGCCGCGAGUCC
rnacentral:rRNA from 1 species